CAUGCAAGUCGAGGGGAAACGGCAAAGAGUGCUUGCACACUUUGGACGUCGACCGGCGCACGGGUGAGUAACGCGUAUCCAACCUGUCCUUUACUUGGGGAUAACCCGUUGAAAGACGGACUAAUACCCAAUGAUAUUCAUUGAUGACAUCUGACAUGAAUUAAAGAUUUAUCGGUAUAGGAUGGGGAUGCGUCUGAUUAGCUUGUUGGUGAGGUAACGGCUCACCAAGGCCACGAUCAGUAGGGGUUCUGAGAGGAAGGUCCCCCACAUUGGAACUGAGACACGGUCCAAACUCCUACGGGAGGCAGCAGUGAGGAAUAUUGGUCAAUGGACGAGAGUCUGAACCAGCCAAGUAGCGUGCAGGAUGACGGCCCUAUGGGUUGUAAACUGCUUUUGUUUGGGAAUAAUCGACAUUACGUGUAAUGUUUUGCAUGUACCAUUCGAAUAAGGACCGGCUAAUUCCGUGCCAGCAGCCGCGGUAAUACGGAAGGUCCAGGCGUUAUCCGGAUUUAUUGGGUUUAAAGGGAGUGUAGGCGGUUGGUUAAGCGUGUUGUGAAAUGUAGAUGCUCAACAUCUGACUUGCAGCGCGAACUGGCUGACUUGAGUACACACAACGUAGGCGGAAUUCAUGGUGUAGCGGUGAAAUGCUUA
rnacentral:rRNA from 1 species